rnacentral:rRNA from 1 species
UUGCAGUUAAAAAGCUCGUAGUUGGAUUUUGGUUAAGAGGGCGCGGUCGGCCGUUUGGUCUGUACUGCGUUGUCUUGACUUCCUGAUGAGGACAUGCUCUUGGUUAACGCUGAGACAUGGAGUCAUCGUGGUUACUUUGAAAAAAUUAGAGUGUUCAAAGCGGGCUUACGCUUGAAUAUAUUAGCAUGGAAUAACACUAUAGGACUCCUGUCCUAUCUCGUUGGUCUCGGGAUGGGAGUAAUGAUUAAGAGGAACAGUUGGGGGCAUUCGUAUUUCAUUGUCAGAGGUGAAAUUCUUGGAUUUAUGAAAGACGAACUUCUGCGAAAGCAUUUGCCAAGGAUGUUUUCAUUAAUCAAGAACGAAAGUUGGGGGCUCGAAGAUGAUUAGAUACCAUCCUAGUCUCAACCAUAAACGAUGCCGACUAGGGAUUGGUGGAUGUUAAUUGAUGACUUCACCAGCACCUUAUGAGAAAUCAAAGUUUUUGGGUUCCGGGGGGAGUAUGGUCGCAAGGCUGAAACUUAAAGGAAUUGACGGAAGGGCACCACCAGGCGUGGAGCCUGCGGCUUA